rnacentral:rRNA from 1 species
UACGGAGGGUGCAAGCAUUAAUCGGAAUUAUUGGGCGUAAAGGGCGCGUAGGCGGAAAUAUAAGUCAGAUGUGAAAUCCCGGGGCUCAACCCCGGAACCGCAUUUGAAACUGCAUUUCUAGAGGAUAGGAGGGGAAAAUGGAAUUCCACAAGUAGCGGUAAAAUGCGUAGAUAUGUGGAAGAACACCAGUGGCGAAGGCGAUUUUCUAUCUUAUUCCUGACGCUGAGGCGCGAAAGCAAGUGGAUCAAACAGG